rnacentral:rRNA from 1 species
UACGUAGGGUCCGAGCGUUGUCCGGAAUUAUUGGGCGUAAAGGGCUCGUAGGCGGUCCGUCACGUCGGGAGUGAAAACUCAGGGCUCAACCCUGAGCGUGCUUCCGAUACGGGCGGACUAGAGGUAUGCAGGGGAGAGCGGAAUUCCUGGUGUAGCGGUGGAAUGCGCAGAUAUCAGGAGGAACACCGGUGGCGAAGGCGGUUCUCUGGGCAUUACCUGACGCUGAGGAGCGAAAGCAUGGGGAGCGAACAGG